rnacentral:rRNA from 1 species
UCCGGAUUUAUUGGGUUUAAAGGGUGCGUAGGCGGACCAUCAAGUCAGCGGUCAAAAGUCGGGGCUCAACCCCGUAAAGCCGUUGAAACUGGUGGUCUUGAGUGAGCGAGAAGCAGGCGGAAUGCGUGGUGUAGCGGUGAAAUGCAUAGAUAUCACGCAGAACCCCGAUUGCGAAGGCAGCCUGCCGGCGCUCAACUGACGCUGAGGCACGAAAGUGCGGGGAUCGAACAGGAUUAGAUACCCUGGUAGUCCGCACAGUAAACGAUGAAUGCUAGCUGUCCGGUCCGAGUGAGGAUUGGGUGGCACAGCGAAAGCGUUAAGCAUUCCACCUGGGGAGUACGCCGGCAACGGUGAAACUCAAAGGAAUUGACGGGGGCCCGCACAAGCGGAGGAACAUGUGGUUUAAUUCGAUGAUACGCGAGGAACCUUACCCGGGCUCAAACGCCGCAGGAAUCACAUCUGAAAGGAUGUGAGCCAGCAAUGGUCUGCGGCGAGGUGCUGCAUGGUUGUCGUCAGCUCGUGCCGUGAGGUGUCGGCUUAAGUGCCAUAACGAGCGCAACCCCUACCGACAGUUGCUAACUGGUCAAGCAGAGGACUCUGUCGGGACUGCCGGCGCAAGCUGCGAGGAAGGCGGGGAUGACGUCAAAUCAGCACGGCCCUUACGUCCGGGGCGACACACGUGUUACAAUGGCAGGUACAGAGGGAAGCCACCUGGCGACAGGGAGCGGAACCCGAAAACCUGUCUCAGUUCGGAUCGGAGUCUGCAACCCGACUCCGUGAAGCUGGAUUCGCUAGUAAUCGCGCAUCAGCCAUGGCGCGGUGAAUACGUUCCCGGGCCUUGUACACACCGCCCGUCAAGCCAUGGAAGCCGGGAGUGCCUGAAGUACGUGACCGCAAGGAACGUCCUAGGGUAA